rnacentral:rRNA from 1 species
UGUAGAAGGGACAGGUGGAGAAGGAUACACCUGUUCCCAUGCCGAACACAGAAGUUAAGCUUCUCCGCGCUGAAAGUAGUUGGUGGGAAACUACCCGCGAGGAUAGGGAGCUGCCACGC